rnacentral:rRNA from 1 species
UACAGAGAGUGCGAACGUUGUUCGGAAUUACUGGGCUUAAAGCGCACGUAGGCGGCAUCGUAAGUGUCCGGUGAAAUCCCACGGCUCACCCGUGGAACUGCCUGGCAGACUGCGAUGCUCGAGUAUGGUAGGGGAGAGCGGAACUCCUGGUGGAGCGGUGAAAUGCGUAGAUAUCAGGAGGAACACCGGUGGCGAAGGCGGCUCUCUGGUCCAUGUCUGACGCUGAGGUGCGAAAGCUAGGGGAGCAAACGGG